GGGUGAAGCAUACUCUAGGGAAAGACCUGGCAGGAGAACUUGCUGAGUUCCAAGUGCUGCUUCUGUGUGUGCAUCCCUCUGCCUUUGCUCCAGCUCAGCCUGCUCUGAUGUGGAGGAUAUGAGUGGCUGCUUCUGAGUUCAUCCAAAUACAGAGGAUGAUUCAACAUGCUGAAACAGUUUCUAGCUAUAUUCUACGAAUGGAACUGCACACCAUACUGGAUGCCCUCUAUACAGAGACAAGAAGUUCAGAUCUUUAUCUCAACUAAAAUCCACUUACGGGUAUGUGUAUGGUGUCACCUUACCCAAAUGGCAAUGUUUUACAGAGGUGUAAAUUGGAAGGUACAAGCAAUAUAAAGAGCAAGACAGGACAUAAUCAAAUCCCAGAGUGAGAGAGAAACUAUGUUUUAAGUCUUAUACCAUCUGGACAUGACUUUUUGUGAAUUUAAAAUAUCUGUAGGUGCUGAGGCAUCUGAAAGUUCAGCAGCAUAUGCCAUUUUUAUGUGAGGAGCAGCUGAGUCCCAGAUCACAUUUACUAGCUGCUAAAGGGAGAACUCUGUAAGAGUUUGGAGUAUCUGCUUCCUACUUUUCAGAUGAAGCAACCUUUAUAACUUUAUUUUUCUGUCCUUGCAUAAAGUCAUGGCUGCUUUGGUGUUGGGUUCCAUGUGAUGACAAAGAAGAAUGCAGUUGUGUGAAGAUAUUGCCUGCUCCCCCUUUGUUGGGAGGAGCUGCAAAACCAGCUGUCAGCAGUCCUCUCAGGCUGGAAAAGGCUGAGCACAAAGCUUGAAGUCAUAGAAAAGCAGGAUGCAGAAAGAAGACCCUGAGGAGAGCUUGUAAUGGCACUGUCCUAUGAAGUAGCCAGUGAAUCAUCACACACUGCCUUAUCAAGCCCCAUUUAUUUGAGCUUAUUUAUUACAAAAAUCUCAUGUUGUGUCUCAUCUAUUUUACAGCUCUGCAACACCAGCUACUUGAAAAUUUGUUAGUGCAACUCUGAGCUCCAAAUACCUCCUUUGGAUAUUUUUUGCCCCAGUCCUAUUUCUGUGUGCUUUGGUGGAAGGGUAGUAUAAUGCCACUUAGUAUAAAAUGUGCCUGCACUGGUAAGAACAUAAUAAAGUUUUUGUUGUGCUGCUGUGUAGCUGAGCC
rnacentral:lncRNA from 1 species